UUCCCUGAAACAAAUUGUCUUCUUUCUGUUGCAGACAGCGAUUUCUUCUUCAUCUUCAUCUUCUUCACGGUUCUUCUCUUCUUCUUCUUUAUCGUUUUCACAUGGCUGCUUCUAGUUCCAAAACCAUUGGAGAAAGAGAUUAGAGCUCCCAAUGAAGAUUCGUUUUGAAUCCGUUGAAUUGUUAAUUUUUUUAUAAUCAAUUCAAUCUUGCCGUCGAGUGAAUUAUGAUAUUUUAGGGGUUUAUUAGGGUUUCAAUCCUCAUGGAGUCGCGCCGUAAUCAAUUUGUUCAAUUCGAUGAUUUUCGUCAAAUGAGUGAAGUUGGUGCUGCUUCGAUGGAUCUCGUUCGAUUCAUCUUAAGAUUCUUCCAUCGUUUUCGUUCUAAGCGAUGGAUCAUGAUACGAUGAGCAAUAAGCUUCAGAAAUUUUUGUUUCCAUGGAAACGGCCUUUAUGAGACAAGAUGAAAAUAUUGAUUGCGCCUUAGAGGGUUUGCAGAAGUAUGUUAAGGAAAAAACUAUUAUCAGGGCUUUCCCACCUUCCAACGAGGUUGUCGACAAGAUACACAACUGCUUAGAAUGUGCUUGACGCCUGGGAAUUUGGUUAUACCUUUGGUGUUUCAUGAUGAUGGUCAUUUGUUGCUUGCAGAGAAUGAUAUUACUGAAAUCAACUCCUUCAAAAGUCCUCUCGACAAGCUGCUUUGCUGUUGCACGCUCAUUAGCAACCUGAUGCAUCAAAGUAGAUGAACCGUAGUCUGGCUAAAGCAGGUGUGUUCUUUCCCUUCCUCAUAUAUGUAACAGUCAAGGAAAAUCCUCUUCACUUGCUUUACAACCUCAAGUUCGUCCGGCUAUACUGGAGGAAGGCCAAAAUUGCCUCUGAGGGUGUUUAUUAUUUGACAAACUUUGUUUCAGCCAAGACAUUCAUUAAUGGAAUUAUUGAAGAAACUGUGCAAGAGAAAGAUCAUUUCAGAGAAGCAAGUCUAGCUUGAUUGUUAAGUAACUCAAGAAGUUUUGCAGCGCUGAGUAAGAAGAUCUGGGCAACCCAAGGCAGAGGAAUGUGGGAGAUAUGAGAUUUAAGAGUAAAGUGCAGAUAUGAAGCAAGUAAAAAAAGAGGAAAGCUUCGGUUUUCAGGUCAGAAACAGUAGCAUUCAAUGGCAAAACCAACAGUUCAGGUGGAGGGGCUGGGCAUUCUUUGGACUCAUCGGAAAGCUCAACACAGCACCAGAGGUUGAUUGCAAAGGGGUUCACUGUGCUAGACAGAUAAGCGGUGCACAUUGCUGACAGGUUCAAGCCUGAAGUUCAUAAGUAAAGUUUAAGAUAAUUAUUAACACUGGAAACCAACCAACCCGAGCAGAAUAAGAAGAGACAUCUCUUGAAAAUUUACCUGUACUCAAAAUCGUUGGAACCAGGAUUGCAACGGGAGCGGACAACUUGAGAUCCAUCAUCCGCCAAAACCCCUCCAAAAUGCUUGAGACAGUAAUCAAUCAGUUGUGGAGAGCCUGUUUUGCAAACAGACCUUUUGAGAGCCCACCUUGUAACCCAUUUGGGUCGUGGACGUCCUGCAGCUUUCAGUAUCUUAAUCAUGACUUGCUGUACACGUUCCACAUCACUCCUCGACCAAGCACACAGUACAGAAGACUUGGAUGAUGUAGGUUUUGAUCGGUUCUCACGAAUCAGCUGUAGCAGAAAGGAGAAGAGGUCUUUCACAGUCACAAGCUCUGAGCACGAGAGUGAUUGGUAGAAGCCAAUAGUGGAGUGGAGCUGAGUUCUUGGUUUCCUCCCCUGGUACAAAAACUCAGAGAGAGGCAUCUCAGAUAAAGUAUCCACCGCACUGUGGAGCACCCUCUAGUGAUCCCAUGAAGCAACCGGUAAUCCAUGCCGUACUUCCUUGACACAUCCAUCACGCUUGCCUUACGAACAGCAAGGGAGGAACAAAGCC